GUGUGUGUGUGUGUGUAUGUGUGUGUGUGUGUGUGUGUGUGUGUGUGUGUGUGUGUGUGUGUGUAAAGCGAGAGAUUAAUACUGUUCCAUUUAAAGCACAUUUAUGGGUUUGUCUUCAUUCAAUCAGGGUUGAAGGAGAGAGAAAGAUUGUGUGUGUGUGUGUGUGUUUGUGUGUGAGGGGAUCUAUAGUGAUGUCAUGUACAGAUGCUUUGUUUCAGUCUGAAGAUCAAAGCCUCCGUCUCAUUGCACAAGACCUUCUUUCACUGUGUGUGUGUGUGUGGUGUGUGUGUGUGUGAGAGAGAGUGAGAGAGAUUGAUAUUGAUGAAUGUAUAGAUGUAUAGUUUCAAUUCAGAAGUUAGCCAGUGAGCACCACACUCCCAAUACUAGCUCACACACACACACACACACACACACACACACACACACACAGCACCUCUCUGGGAGAAGUGGCUGUUGUCUGUUAGGUUGCACUAUAUGUCCGUCACAUUUCAUGACAACUGUGAGCUUUGGAGUGUGUGUGUGUGUACCUCUGACUAUUCCUCUCCUGGUGGACCACUGUCACCUCAGCCGCUAAGCAGACAAACUGAUGAACUUAAUUAUGGAAAUAAAUAAGGAAAUAAAUAAACAAGCUUACUGUACACAA